rnacentral:rRNA from 1 species
GACGGUGCCAACGAGUCUGACUUUCUGGCCUGAAAAGGUUGGGUAAACUGGUCAAUCACCGUCAUGACAGGGAUCGGGGCUUGGAAUUGUUCCCCGUGAACGAGGAAUUCCUAGUAAGUGCAAGUCAUAAGCUUGCGCUGAUUACGUCCCUGCCCUUUGUACACACCGCCCGUCGCUACUACCGAUUGAAUGGUUUAGUAAGGUCCUUGGAUUGGCGCCAUUGUAGUAGAUGCCGCAAGGUGUCUGCUCGACAGGUGCUGAGAAGACGACCAAAC